GUGUGACUAUGUAAAAGAUCCUUUGCAAAGUACUGGUGACCUUGAAGACAGAUUCUGUAGCUUAAAGACUUAGAAUCUAGUGUGUUCUCUGACUGAGAGAGCAUAAAGAUCAGCAGGCCUUAAGGUACCAGAGGAUCCUGUGGGUUGCCACAAGACAAGAAACAGGAUGAUAACCUGAAAUAGACACAGAGCUAUUGCUAUAAUUGCCUGUCUAGAAGUUAGGUAAAUCAUCUAAACUGUAAGGAUUCCAGUGGAUACCGAAGACCACCUGAGAUACCCAAGCUUGUGGACUGGGCAAUUACUGGAUUUUUUGACUUUCUGUUCACAGCAAGAAAUUUUUGGAUUAGCUGGACCACAUCCUAACAGAGGAAACCUGGUCAAAGGCCAGAUUCUGGUUUCCAUCAGAGCAGCUCUGACUACUCACAGAAGCCCCCUGAGAUCAUACGUGUUUACUAUUGAUGUCCUCCCAUAGAAGCCAGCUCUAUGUGACUCUGCCCUGCCUGCACAUGACUUCUCAUGGUCCAUGGAUGCUCUCGAAGACCAUACUCCAAUGGAUGACCUCAUGAGUAUAUGGGUAGCAUGAAUCAGACCCGAUGGAUAAUAGAAGAGGAGAAGGAGGAGGAACAUGAGGAGGAGAAAGAAGAAGUGGAAAGGAGAAGA
rnacentral:lncRNA from 1 species